AUUGAACGCUGGCGGCAGGCCUAACACAUGCAAGUCGAACGGUAACAGGAAGUAGCUUGCUACUUUGCUGACGAGUGGCGGACGGGUGAGUAAUGUCUGGGGAUCUGCCUGAUGGAGGGGGAUAACUACUGGAAACGGUAGUUAAUACCGCAUAAUGUCGCAAGACCAAAGCUGGGGACUUGCGGGCCUCGCACCAUCAGAUGAACCCAGAUGGGAUUAGCUAGGAGGUAGGGUAAUGGAUUACCUAGGCGACGAUCCCUAGCUGGGCUGAGAGGAUGACCAGCCACACUAGAACUGAGACACGGUCCAGACUCCUAAGGGAGGCAGCAGUGGGGAAUAUUGCACAAUGGGCGCAAGCCUGAUGCAGCCAUGCCGCGUGUAUGAAGAAAGCCUUCGGGUUGUAAAGUACUUUCAGUCAGGAGGAAGGGUGUGAAAUUAAUCCUUUCAUGCAUUGACGUUACUGACAGAAGAAGCACCGGCUAACUCCGUGCCAGCAGCCGCGGUAA
rnacentral:rRNA from 1 species